rnacentral:rRNA from 1 species
GUGGGGAAUAUUGGACAAUGGGCGAAAGCCUGAUCCAGCCAUGCCGCGUGUGUGAAGAAGGUCUUCGGAUUGUAAAGCACUUUAAGUUGGGAGGAAGGGCAGUAAGUUAAUACCUUGCUGUUUUGACGUUACCGACAGAAUAAGCACCGGCUAACUUCGUGCCAGCAGCCGCGGUAAUACGAAGGGUGCAAGCGUUAAUCGGAAUUACUGGGCGUAAAGCGCGCGUAGGUGGUUUGGUAAGUUGGAGGUGAAAUCCCCGGGCUCAACCUGGGAACUGCCUCAAAAACUGAAUGACUAGAGUACGGUAGAGGGUAGUGGAAUUUCCUGUGUAGCGGUGAAAUGCGUAGAUAUAGGAAGGAACACCAGUGGCGAAGGCGACUACCUGGACUGAUACUGACACUGAGGUGCGAAAGCGUGGGGAGCAAACAGGAUUAGAAACCCUGGUAGUCC